GCUUAUCACCAUUCCAGAUUGAAUAUACCUGAUCUCGUCUGAUCUCGUCUGAUCUCGGAAGUCAAGCAAUCUCGGGCUUGGUUAGUACUUGGAUGGGUGACCGCUUGGGAAUACCAAGUGUGAUAAGCA
rfam:Ciona savignyi cont_38035, whole genome shotgun sequence.